CCUACGUUGAAACACCGUUUCCUGUACGAUCACCGAAGUUAAGAAACGUAAAGCUUGGUCAGUACCUAGAUUGGUAACCACAUGGGAAUACCAGGUACUGUAAG